CUGCUGUGACUCCUGGGGCUGAAGGAUGAGCAAAGAAAGCCCUACCAGGAGGUGGUAGAAAAGCAAGGGUUAGCCAAGUACAUCUUUUAUUACUGCAUCAGGUGCAAGGAUCUAGCAGACCCCACAGGAAGGAGAGAGGAGCUGCUGCAGAAAUUUGGUUUCUACUGGGCUGCAAGUUCCCCUUGCUCACAAAAGCAGAUCAACAUAAUACCAGGUCUCUCUUCAAAGCAAUGAUGCAUUUCCUGGGAAGAUGGAACUGUUUGCUGAGACUCCAAGAAGUCUUGGAGAAGCUUUAAGAAGACUUUAAAGAUUGCCAUCCAGCUGUUCUACAUUUGAUGAGGUGUAUGUGACAAGGUGAUGGCACAGUGUGACGUGUCCUCAUGAGAUGAGUAAGGGAAGUCAUCAGGGCUCUGGCCAGUGAUGUGACAGAAAACUCAAGAAAUACAGCAAGAAGACAUGUUGGAGAAAGUCCCAGAGGUGAAACUCUCAUUGGUCAUUAAAGCAGCACAUCACCAUCACUGGUUAAGUGGAACAUCACCCCUGGACUGUUUUCCUAAACUCCACCUGCAAGGAUUGUUGUCCUUUACCAAGGACUGCUUGGAUUCUUUCUCGUGCCUUCUCAGAAUGAGGAACCUGUAAUUUUGUUUCACACAGGUUCUGUUCCCUUCUUUUUGCAUUUAGCAUCCACAUCUCUUACCUAAUAUCUCUUUUACCCAGAGGUGUCCUGACCAAAGCAAUUCAGCACACAUCUGAAUGCCACUGCUGGAAACAAAGAUCUUCUAGAUCUGGCUACAUUUAGACAAGACUCCUGUUGAGUUAUGGGCUACAAGGCCACUCUGAACAGUCUGUUAUCUGCUGUGAUGCAAAGGGCACAUCACACCUUCCCUCCUGGAACAGUCACCUGAAAGCAUCAAUGUCCACACCUAAGGCAGUGCUGGUGUUCUCUACAGCACUCUCACAACUGUAAAUAUCACAAAACAACUUCAGGAGAAGACCAUUGAUUGUAAAGCCCUUCUUUUUUCAUCUAAAUAAACAUAUUUUUCCUUUAAAUACAUUGAAGAAAAUCAGGAAUGCUGCAAGAGGAAUUCUAUAGUACAUUCUGUAGUAUCACAGCAGCUUACCCAACAGUGUUGUACCAACAUAUAACUGCACAAGGCAUUGAACAGCAUGGUCACCUCUAGAGCUUAGAGCCCUGCUGUCAGCAAAUCUGGCUGUAAGCCUGACUUCAUAUCAUCAUUUCAUUGAAUGACUAACCCAGAAACUUCUGUUGGAUUUGCCUGCAAUCAGCCAGUUAACACCAACAACGAAAAACAUUCUUUUAUUUUUGCUUCUUCCAUCUAGCACAGUAUCAGAAAAGCCUGCAAGCCCAGCACAGCUGUAGAAUCUUUCUAAUUGCCUUGACUAGCUACUCAGGUUAGAAACAUAACAUUAGGCUAGUUAGGAAAUGUAUCUUUUUCCUUUGAAUUUGCCCCUCAACCUGGCCUGCUCCAGGCUGGCCAGGGUCCUCCCACCACUCCCACUCAAUCAAGCUUGCUCUAGAGGGGAGCACAAGCUCUUUUACAAAAUUAUCAGCACAAAGCUUCUAUUUCACCAAUUACUCUUCCCUGCUGCCCUAAUCAGUGCUUCAUGGGUCUGACACUUAGGAGGAUAAUUAUUUUCUCUGUAAAUACCUUUCUGUGGCCUCUAAAGAGACAAAACAAGCCCUGCAAAAACUUCCCACAAAGGCCAAUCAGUGCUGGCUCCUAUUUCCUGCCACCAGCUCAGCACAAUUAACUCCUGACACCUGAUAGGAUUCAUUGCCUUGUUCUUUAAAACACCACAGUUUCAGCUUGAUGCCAUGAAACAAUAUUUUCAAAUUACAGCAGCAGCCACUCAUGCAGUGGAAACGAUAAAAUUUCCACUCAAUGCAUGUUAAUUGGAUUAUUAUUUUAAAGUCAUGCUCACCGCCCCCACAUUAAUAACAAAUGAGCUCCCUCUAAUUAUUAUUAGAGUAACUCCCAUGCAAAUUAAUGAUUAGGCCAUAAACACCGUGCAGCUGACUUGCCAUUAUUCUCACAUUUGAGCAAAUCAGCUAAUAAAGUGACAAUAAAAAGGGAAAUUCUUUUAUGCAUUACUGAAUUCCUUUACUCAUACCACAGGCAUACAACAAAGGGCUGUUAACCACUUUUUCCUUUCACAAAAUGUUCAACUGAAAUUAUUCAUCAUUGUCUGGUAAAAAAUGACUGCAAAAAGCUGCAUUUGUCAGUCUUGUGUGUUUGUAAACAAUGUUUUAACCACUGCUCACAGGGUACAGUGUAACCAGACAGUCAAGGAUAUAACAUGAUCAGGAUAACCCAAAGUUUUAGAAAUAGUUGUUCUACAUGCAACAGCACCAAAUAAUAGCUGAUAACCAUUGAAGGAUUUUUUACAUGUGUAGGACUUCUAAACCAACACAAACUAUGCUUUCCAAAGGGAUUUAAACUAAUCACUCUUUAUAAUAUAUUGGUACUAUACUACUUCACACUGAUGAGCAGAGGAAUUGAGUUUCUAAAAUUGCAUGAAUACAUUAUAAUAAAAGUAGAAAACCUGUUCCUUGCUAGCCCCCCCACACCUUUCUGACUCAUUUACCAAUCAGUUUCCCAUUCUGUAGUCAUCCCAUAAAACUCAAGCAUAGCUCACAGCCAUCUGAUAAACCUUCAAGCUCCUCAGACUUGCUGUGGUCUGAGCUCUCCAAGCUCCUGAAUCACAGUCAUUUGAAACUCUCAGAUAAGGGAGACCUUUCCCUCCACCCUCACCUUCAACCCAUUUCUUACUAAUCUCAGGUUUAGAUCAUAAUUUUUGUAUUUUGAAUAUAGUUGCAUUCAUUACCAAACACACACUAUUAUCUUUAUAUUUCUACAUUAUGAAAAUUGGAAUUUGCUGGGAAAAUGCAAGUUGUACUGCAGAAACCAAUAUCCAUUAGUUUUCCAGACAGAAUACCCACGAACAAGAACACAUAAAAGAUGCAGAGCUCUGGAUAUGAUUACAAUGCUCUUUGGUGCAGAAGGAGUAAAGAUCUCCCUGAUUAACUUAAAUGAUCAUAUUGCUCACAGUAGCAAAACUACAUCAUUUGAUAUUAAUGCCCUUGAUGCUGAUAUUAAAAUCACCCAACUGAUGUAAGAGAAAAUGUUCAGUACCUCCUUCAGGAAUGAUGA